AGGCUAGGUGGGGAAGAGAUGGAAUUUGCGGCCCGACAAUGAGAAUUUGAAACACCGAAAAACGUCUAACGAUAAACUAAAGAUGGUGCCGCUACGGUCGACCGUUCGGUUAUCAAACGGACUCCGAUUGCGAGGAAAUUUGGCAGGCGGCCUACCUACACUAGAGUAAGACCGCACGCCAACUUUUGACCCAAUCCGAGAAUAUUUUCUGGACACUUUUAAAAACAAUAUUUUAUGGAUGACGCGGGCGCGUGCGUGUAGUCGGGCUCAAAAUGGAAAACGUCGAACACGGAGAGAACCGGCAACUAAUAACGGGUGCAAGUUUUGAAACUGGCGGGAAUGGAGUGCUGAUGCAAUGCAGA
rnacentral:lncRNA from 1 species